GACGAACGCUGGCGGCGUGCUUAACACAUGCAAGUCGUGCGGAAAGGCCCUUUUGGGGGUGCUCGAGCGGCGAACGGGUGAGUAACACGUGAGUGAUCUGCCCUGCACUUUGGGAUAACUGCCGGAAACGGUGGCUAAUACCGGAUAUUCACUUCUUCCUGCAUGGGGGUGGUGGAAAGCCUUUGGGUGGUGUGGGAUGUGCUCGCGGCCUAUCAGCUUGAUGGUGGGGUAAUGGCCUACCAUGGCUUUGACGGGUAGCCGGCCUGAGAGGGUGACCGGCCACACUGGGACUGAGACACGGCCCAGACUCCUACGGGAGGCUG
rnacentral:rRNA from 1 species